rnacentral:rRNA from 1 species
GACGAACGCUGGCGGCGUGCUUAACACAUGCAAGUCGAACGGAAAGGCCCUGCUUUUGUGGGGUGCUCGAGUGGGGAAGGGGUGAGUAACACGUGAGUAACAUGCCCUUGACUUUGGGAUAACAUCAGGAAACUGGGGCUAAUACCGGAUAGGAGCUCCUGCUGCAUGGGGGGGGUUGGAAAGUUUCGGCGGUGGGGGAUGGACUCGCGGCUUACCAGCUUGUUGGGGGGGUAGUGGAUUACCAAGGCUUUGACGGGUAGCCGGCCUGGGAGCGUGACCGGCCACAUUGGUACUGCGAGACGGCCCAGACGCCUACGUGCGGCAGCAGUGGGGAAUAUUGCACAAUGGGCGGAAGCCUGAUGCAGCAACGCCGCGUGCGGGAUGACGGCCUUCGGGUGGUAAACCGCUUUCGCCUGUGACGAAGCGUGAGUGACGGUAAUGGGUAAAGAAGCACCGGCUAACUACGUG